AACGCGUCUUAGGCUGCUCAUGUCUAACUGAUGAGUUCCAAUAAGAACGAAACGCGUC
rnacentral:hammerhead_ribozyme from 1 species